rnacentral:rRNA from 1 species
UCAGAGGGAGGUAGAAUNCCACGUGUAGCAGUGAAAUGCGUAGAGAUGUGGAGGAAUACCGAUGGCGAAGGCAGCCUCCUGGGAUAACACUGACGUUCAUGCCCGAAAGCGUGGGUAGCAAACAGGAUUAGAUACCCUGGUAGUCCACGCCCUAAACGAUGUCGAUUAGCUGUUGGGCAGCAUGACUGCUUAGUAGCGAAGCUAACGCGUGAAAUCGACCGCCUGGGGAGUACGGUCGCAAGAUUAAAACUCAAAGGAAUUGACGGGGACCCGCACAAGCGGUGGAUGAUGUGGAUUAAUUCGAUGCAACGCGAAGAACCUUACCUGGUCUUGACAUGUACGGAACCCUCCAGAGACGGAGGGGUGCCUUCGGGAGCCGUAACACAGGUGCUGCAUGGCUGUCGUCAGCUCGUGUCGUGAGAUGUUGGGUUAAGUCCCGCAACGAGCGCAACCCUUGUCAUUAGUUGCCAUCAUUAAGUUGGGCACUCUAAUGAGACUGCCGGUGACAAGCCGGAGGAAGGUGGGGAUGACGUCAAGUCCUCAUGGCCCUUAUGACCAGGGCUUCACACGUCAUACAAUGGUCGGUACAGAGGGUAGCCAAGCCGCGAGGUGGAGCCAAUCUCACAAAACCGAUCGUAGUCCGGAUUGCACUCUGCAACUCGAGUGCAUGAAGUCGGAAUCGCUAGUAAUCGCAGGUCAGCAUACUGCGGUGAAUACGUUCCCGGGUCUUGUACACACCGCCCGUCACACCAUGGGAGUGGGGGAUACCAGAAGUAGGUAGGGUAACCGCAAGGAGCCCGCUU